rnacentral:rRNA from 1 species
GGGCCCGCACAAGCAGUGGAGCAUGUGGUUUAAUUCGAUGAUACGCGAAGAACCUUACCUGGGCUCUAAUGCGAGUGACCGCUCCUGAAAGGGGAGCUUUUCCCUUCGGGGACACGAAGCAAGGUGCUGCAUGGUUGUCGUCAGCUCGUGCCGUGAGUGUUGGGUUAAGUCCCGCAACGAGCGCAACCCCCGUAUCUUUAGUUGCCAGCGAUUCGGUCGGGGACUCUAGAGAGACUGCCUGCGCAAGCAGAGAGGAAGGCGGGGGACGACGUCAAAUCAUCAUGGCCUUUAUGCCCAGGGCUACACACGUGCUACAAUGGUAGGUACAGACGGUGCGAACUCGCGAGAGU